rnacentral:ncRNA from 2 species
GCCUGUUCUCGGGGCGGGGUGCAAUUCCCCACCGGCGGUGAUAGCCCGCGAGCGCCUGCCACUGGCAGGGUCAGCAGAUCCGGUGAAACUCCGGGGCCGACGGUAUAGUCCGGAUGGAAGAGAACGGAC